GGUCCAGAAUCAUCUAAGCUUCAAACCCCACAAGCCUGGGUCUGUUCCGAGGUGGGUGCUCAGAUGGCAGGAAACAGCUGACACAUCAGCAGGCCGGGAGAUGUGGAAGGAAGCCUUUUGGAUGUGAUUAAGUUCUGUCCACAGUGAGGACAUUGCUGUUUCCAUGGUAACCAGUAUACUCUAAAGCCAAGGAGGAUGACAGUGUAGAAAAGUAUAAAGAAGCCAAAGAGGUUUGCUACGGUUGCUUUUCAUCCACCACAGAGGAAACAGAAUUAUGGAAUCCAGGAGCUGGAGAGGAAUUUACGAGGUCACUAAAUCAUAUGCCCACCUUCAUUAGAGCUGUAGUGAAACAACUGUGGAGAUAAGCAAAUGUCCUUCAUUUAAAGCCACCCAGAACAGACUUCACGAUCUUUUUUGAAAAGAGAUGGCAAACUACCAGCAAGGCACCAACAAAGCCUGGGCAAGUUCAACGUGAGUCUCCAGUGGUGGGGAUGUGUUUCAUUAUCCUCCUGGUGCCCUCUGAUAAGGCUUAGACUGUUUCGUGCUCCUUUUCUUUUCUUGAUCAAGACAGAAGACAGCGGACAGUUGGGAUGGAAAGAAAACUGGGACAGAUACUGCCUGUGCUGCCUCUUCCCCUUUCUUCCUGCCUUGAAUGUUGGCAUGAUGUCCAGAGCAGAAACCCGGAUAGUGUUGUGACUCUCAACCAAUGUCAGCAGCCUGUAGUUCCAGAAUCUUUACUGGAGAGGAAAAACUCCACUAUUAGUUGAGUUUUCUUGCAGCCCAAACAUUUGUAACAGAGAAGCCGUCCUGACUCUUGCCUUUAUCUUGAGUGAUUACUAUCUACACAUGGAUUUUCCAAUCAUUAACCUGCCUUUUUCUUACCGAGGGCUGCAACCUUAGAUUCUCAAUCCCCUCUGGACUGUGUACCAAUACAUCCUCCUAACUUUCCCCUGCCCUCAAUC